GGGGCUAUAGCUCAGCUGGAAGAGCGCCUGGAUCGCACCCAGGAGGUCGCGAGUUCGAGUCUCGCUAGCUCCA
rnacentral:tRNA from 1 species